rnacentral:rRNA from 1 species
GACGAACGCUGGCGGCGUGCUUAACACAUGCAAGUCGAGCGGUAAGGCCCUUUCGGGGGUACACGAGCGGCGAACGGGCGAGUAACACGUGGGUGACCUGCCCUCAGCUCUGGGAUAAGCCUGGGAAACCGGGUCUAAUACUGGAUAUGACUCCAUGACGCAUGUUGUGGGGUGGAAAGCCUUGUGCGGCUGAGGAUGGGCCCGCGGCCUAUCAGCUUGUUGGUGGGGNGAUGGCCUACCAAGGCGACGACGGGUAGCCGGCCUGAGAGGGCGACCGGCCACACUGGGACUGAGACACGGCCCAGACUCCUACGGGAGGCAGCAGUGGGGAAUCUUGCGCAAUGGGCGAAAGCCUGACGCAGCGACGCCGCGUGAGGGAUGACGGCCU